rnacentral:rRNA from 1 species
UCGCUGCCCGGAACUGAGCCGUUUCGAGAAGUACAGGGACUGCUGUUUGGUGGCUUUCUGGCUGCCUUAUAAUGGAAACUGGCCUGAUCGGUAUGGCUUGAACCGGGCAA